AGCGAACGCUGGCGGCAGGCCUAACACAUGCAAGUCGAACGAAGUCUUCGGACUUAGUGGCGGACGGGUGAGUAACGCGUGGGAACGUGCCUUUAGGUUCGGAAUAACUCAGGGAAUCUUGUGCCAAUACCGAAUGUGCCCUUCGGGGGAAAGAUUUAUCGCCUUUAGAGCGGACCGCGUCUGAUUAGCUAGUUGGUGAGGUAAAGGAUCACCAAGGCGACGACCAGUAGCUGGUCUGAGAGGAUGAUCAGCCACAUUGGGACUGAGACACGGCCCAAACUCCUACGGGGGGCAGCAGUGGGGAAUCUUGCGCAAUGGGCGAAAGCCUAACGCAGCCAUGCCGCGUGAAUGAUGAGGGUCUUAGGAUUGUAAAAUUCUUUCACCGGGUACGAUAAUGACGGUACCCGGAGAGGAAGCCCCGGCUAACUGCGUGCCAGCCGCCGCGGUAAUAC
rnacentral:rRNA from 1 species